AAACUAACCAAGGAUUCCCCUAGUAACGGCGAGUGAAGUGGGAAAAGCUCAAUUUUGUAAUCUGGCUGUUUCACAGUCCGAGUUGUAGCCUCGAGAAGCAUUAUCCGCGCCGGACCUUGGCCAUGUCUGUUGGAAUACAGUGUCAAAGAGGGUGAGAAUCCCGUACAUACCAAGGACGCCCGUGUGCAUUGUGAUACGCUUUCAAAGAGUCGAGUUGUUUGGGAAUGCAGCUCAAAUCGGGUGGUAAAUUCCAUCUAAAGCUAAAUAUUGGCGAGAGACCGAUAGCGAACAAGUACCGUGAGGGAAAGAUGAAAAGCACUUUGGAAAGAGAAUGAAACAGUAUGUGAAAUUGCUGGAAGGGAAACGUUUGAAGUUAGACUUGCUUUUGCGGCAUUCAGCCUUCGGGUGUAUUUGCUGCUUGACGCAGGCCAGCAUCGGUUUAGAUCGCUGUAAAAGGGUGCGCGGAACGUAGCUAGCCUUCGGGUUAGUGUUAUAGCCACGCACUGGAUGCAGAGCCCUAGACCGAGGAACGCAGCGCGCCAGCAUGGCAAGGUCUCCGGACCUCGAGCGCUUAGGAUGCUGGUGGAAUAGCUUUAACCGAACCCGUCUUGAAACACGGACC
rnacentral:rRNA from 1 species